GUGAGGAAUAUUGGUCAAUGGGCGCAAGCCUGAACCAGCCAUGCCGCGUGCAGGAAGACGGUCCUAUGGAUUGUAAACUGCUUUUAUUUGGGAAUAAACUCCGGUACGUGUACCGGCCUGAAGGUACCAAAUGAAUAAGCACCGGCUAACUCCGUGCCAGCAGCCGCGGUAAUACGGAGGGUGCAAGCGUUAUCCGGAAUCAUUGGGUUUAAAGGGUCCGCAGGCGGUCUUAUAAGUCAGUGGUGAAAGCCUACAGCUCAACGGUAGAACUGCCAUUGAUACUGUAGGACUUGAAUUCGAUCGAAGUGGGCGGAAUGUGACAUGUAGCGGUGAAAUGCUUAGAUAUGUCACAGAACACCGAUAGCGAAGGCAGCUCACUAGGUCUGGAUUGACGCUCAGGGACGAAAGCGUGGGGAGCAAACAGGAUUAGAAACCCUGGUAGUCC
rnacentral:rRNA from 1 species